rnacentral:rRNA from 1 species
GACGAACGCUGGCGGCGUGCUUAACACAUGCAAGUCGAACGGAAAGGCCCUGCUUGCAGGGUACUAGAGUGGAGAACGGGUGAGUAACACGUGGGUGAUCUGCCCUGCACUUCGGGAUAAGCAUGGGAAACUGGGUCUAAUACCGGAUAGGAGCCAUCUUUAGUGUGAUGGUUGGAAAGCUUUUUCGGUGUAGGAUGAGCUCGCGGCCUAUCAGCUUGUUGGUGGGGUAGUGGCCUACCAAGGCGGCGACGGGUAGCCGGCCUGAGAGGGUGGACGGCCACAUUGGGACUGAGAUACGGCCCAGACUCCUACGGGAGGCAGCAGUGGGGAAUAUUGCACAAUGGGCGCAAGCCUGAUGCAGCGACGCCGCGUGCGGGAUGACGGCCUUCGGGUUGUAAACUGCUUUCACUAGGGACGAAGCUUUUUGUGACGGUACCUAGAGAAGAAGCACCGGCUAACUACGUG